CCUACGGGAGGCAGCAGUGGGGAAUAUUGGACAAUGGGCGCAAGCCUGAUCCAGCCAUGCCGCGUGAGUGAAGAAGGCCUUCGGGUUGUAAAGCUCUUUUGUUGGGAAAGAAAAGCAGCCGGCCAAUACCCGGUUGUUCUGACGGUACCCAAAGAAUAAGCACCGGCUAACUUCGUGCCAGCAGCCGCGGUAAUACGAAGGGUGCAAGCGUUACUCGGAAUUACUGGGCGUAAAGCGUGCGUAGGUGGUGAUUUAAGUCUGAUGUGAAAGCCCUGGGCUCAACCUGGGAAUGGCAUUGGAAACUGGGUCACUGGAGUGCGGUAGAGGAUGGCGGAAUUCCCGGUGUAGCAGUGAAAUGCGUAGAGAUCGGGAGGAACAUCCGUGGCGAAGGCGGCCAUCUGGACCAGCACUGACACUGAGGCACGAAAGCGUGGGGAGCA
rnacentral:rRNA from 1 species